ACGGGAGGCAGCAGUGGGGAAUAUUGGACAAUGGGGGAAACCCUGAUCCAGCGACGCCGCGUGAGUGAAGAAGUAUUUCGGUAUGUAAAGCUCUAUCAGCAGGAAAGAAAAUGACGGUACCUGACUAAGAAGCCCCGGCUAACUACGUGCCAGCAGCCGCGGUAAUACGUAGGGGGCAAGCGUUAUCCGGAUUUACUGGGUGUAAAGGGAGCGUAGACGGCAUUGCAAGUCUGAAGUGAAAGCCCAGGGCUCAACCCUGGAACUGCUUUGGAAACUGUAGUGCUAGAGUGCAGGAGAGGUAAGUGGAAUUCCUAGUGUAGCGGUGAAAUGCGUAGAUAUUAGGAGGAACACCAGUGGCGAAGGCGGCUUACUGGACUGUAACUGACGUUGAGGCUCGAAGGCGUGGGGAGCAAACAGGAUUAGAUACCCUGGUA
rnacentral:rRNA from 1 species